AAGGCGCGCGAUACAGGGUGACAGCCCCGUACACAAAAGCGCAUGUGCUGUGAGCUCGAUGAGUAGGGCGGGACACGUGGUAUCCUGUCUGAAUAUGGGGGGACCAUCCUCCAAGGCUAAAUACUCCUGACUGACCGAUAGUGAACCAGUACCGUGAGGGAAAGGCGAAAAGAACCCCGGCGAGGGGAGUGAAAAAGAACCUGAAACCGUGUACGUACAAGCAGUGGGAGCACCCUUCGGGGUGUGACUGCGUACCUUUUGUAUAAUGGGUCAGCGACUUAUAUUCUGUAGCAAGGUUAACCGUAUAGGGGAGCCGGAGGGAAACCGAGUCUUAAUUGGGCGUUAAGUUGCAGGGUAUAGACCCGAAACCCGGUGAUCUAGCCAUGGGCAGGUUGAAGGUUGGGUAACACUAACUGGAGGACCGAACCGACUAAUGUUGAAAAAUUAGCGGAUGACCUGUGGCUGGGGGUGAAAGGCCAAUCAAACCGGGAGAUAGCUGGUUCUCCCCGAAAGCUAUUUAGGUAGCGCCUCGUGAAUUCAUCUCCGGGGGUAGAGCACUGUUUCGGCUAGGGGGCCAUCCCGGCUUACCAACCCGAUGCAAACUGCGAAUACCGGAGAAUGUUAUCACGGGAGACACACGGCGGGUGCUAACGUCCGUCGUGAAGAGGGAAACAACCCAGACCGCCAGCUAAGGUCCCAAAGUCAUGGUUAAGUGGGAAACGAUGUGGGAAGGCCCAGACAGCCAGGAUGUUGGCUUAGAAGCAGCCAUCAUUUAAAGAAAGCGUAAUAGCUCACUGGUCGAGUCGGCCUGCGCGGAAGAUGUAACGGGGCUAAACCAUGCACCGAAGCUGCGGCAGCGAACGUAUCACC
rnacentral:rRNA from 1 species